rnacentral:rRNA from 1 species
AACGAACGCUUGCGGCAUGCCUCAAACAUGCAAGUCGAACGAGAAAGCACCUUCGGGUGCGAGUAAAGUGGCGCACGGGUGAGUAACACGUAGCUAACGUACCCUUUCGCUGGGGACAACUCCGGGAAACCGGAGCUAAUACCGAAUAAUCUGAAAAAGUCUGCGGACCUUUUCGGUAAAGCCUUCGGGCGCGAAAGGAUCGGGCUGCGGUGCAUUAGCUUGAUGGUGGGGUAAAGGCCUACCAUGGCUACGAUGUAUAGCUGGUCUGAGAGGAUGAUCAGCCACACUGGAACUGAAACACGGUCCAGACUCCCACGGGAGGCAGCAGUUGGGAAUAUUGGACAAUGGGCGAAAGCCUGAUCCAGCAAUGCCGCGUGAAUGAUGAAGGCCCUAGGGUCGUAAAGUUCUUUCAGCAGGGAAGAAGGGAAACUUGACUGUACCUGCAGAAGAAGCACCGGCUAACUCCG